rnacentral:piRNA from 1 species
UGAAAUAGCCUGCGUCCAGCCAGAGCU